GAUUUUUACGUGCGCGAGACGCGUUUUUAUCUCGCGCGUAUUUAUAUAUAUAUAUAUAUUGUGAGUAAAAUAUAACGGAAGAAAAAAUUUUGGGUUUGUGCCGACGAGCUCAGACGCUUGGUGCAAUUGAGAGUGUCCCCACACGACAACCAACUCGACGUUUCGUUAAACGACGACGACUCAACGGCAACACGCGCGAGCGAGAUGAAAGGAAUCGGAGGAACGCGAUGUCUCCGCCGUAGCAUAACGCGAAGGAACAGAGAAGAACAAUGGAUACAUGACGCAAAUAAGUUAAUUAUCGCGUCACAUGCGCAUCAGUUAUUAAAAGAAUAUAUAAUUAGAUAAGAAAUAGCAAUAGAUGAAACACAUGUCUUUUUUCAAAAGAUCGUCUGAGUCACAUCAGGAGGAUAUAUUUCGGAAAAAGGUAACGUGUGAACUACAAUUUCGAUUCGAAUAUCUAUAUAUAUUUUAUUAUAUAAUGUAAUUAAAAAUAGAGAGAAAUAUAAACUAUAAAUU